CAAUAGCGUAUUCAAAUGUUGUUGCAGUUAAAAGCUCGUAGUUGGAUAUCAGAACUCGUGGAAUUGGCCCGUCGCCUUUGUGUGAUUGAGUGCUAGUGAAGCGGUUCUUUCUUUCCGAGAAGGUGCUCUCCCUUUAAUUAGUGGUGGAGUUUCCAACUUGGAUCUGUUACCUUGAAUAAAUUAGAGUGUUCAAAGCAAGCUUACGCUGUGAAUAUUUUAGCAUGGAAUAACGACAUAGGACUUUGUUGUCUAUUUCGUUGGUUUCUAGACUCGAAGUAAUGAUUGAUAGGGACAGUUGGGGGUGCUGGUAUUGGCCGGCCAGAGGUGAAAUUCUUGGAUUCGGUCAAGACUAACUUAUGCGAAAGCAUUCACCAAGGAUGUCUUCUUUAAUCAAGAACGAAAGUUGGGGGAUCGAAGACGAUCAGAUACCG
rnacentral:rRNA from 1 species